AGAAAGUCUGGUUGCUGAUGUGUGCAUAAUAUACGUUUAUCAACGUGUUAUCUAUCUGGUUUUUUUUUAUCAAUGUAUGUUAAGAUAAGUAUAAUAACUGUGCAAGGAACACACUAUAUACUGUCUAUUCGAACAGGAUUUACUGUUGCAAGAUGUCGUACAAAGUAGAAACCAUAAUUAAGAAUGCUACAACAACUUUAGGAGAAGGGCCUCAUUGGGACGAGCUAACCCAGAGUUUGCUUUUCGUAGAUAUGCGAGUUGGCAAUGUGCAUCGUUAUAACACGUUUAAUAAAAUAGAAGAAAAGCGACAUAUCGGUGAACAUGUGUCACUAGUGGUACCAAGAAAGUGUGGAGGUUAUGUGGUAGGUACUGGUGUAAAUAUCUCCCAUCUUGAUUGGUUGUCGGGUAAUCUAACCACAUUAGCUACAUUGGAAGUGCCAGAAGGUGGAAAUCUUAACGACGGAAAAUGUGACGCUUUAGGGCGGUUAUGGGCAGGUACGAUGGGAUACAUGAAAGAACCUGUCUUACCGGAAAUUGCAGACGCCUCGCUUUACACCCUAGAAAAAGAUUUGAAGGUGAAUCGUCAUCUAGAUAAGAUAACAAUAUCAAAUGGUUUAGCUUGGACACACAAUAAUACAAAGAUGUUUUAUGUUGAUACCAAGCCACGAGAAAUCUGGAGUUUCGAUUUCGAUCUUGAAACUGGCAACCUGACAAACAAACAAGUUUUGAUAAAAUUCCCUGAAGACACCAUUAAGACUUUGGGCUACCCCGAUGGAAUGACGUCGGAUGUAGAUGACAAAAUAUGGUGUGCAUGUAUUGAUGGAAGCUGCAUAGUACGUUAUGAUCCAGAAACUGGUCAAGAGAUUUCCAGAAUUAAUUUUCCCACAAGCCAAAUCACUUCCUGUUGUUGGGGUGGCAAGAACUUUGAUGAGCUAUACGUCACAUCCGGUCAUAUGAAUAUUACUGAUGAUCAGGCCGGAUCAGUAUUUAGAGUUACCGAUCUUGGUACUAAAGGACGACCUGCUGACGUGUUCUGGGGUUAACUGAUUUGAAUACAACAAUGGGUUAAUUGAAUUCUGUGUAUUUAUCCAUUUAAAUAUUCUUCGAUUUAUUUUAAUU